rnacentral:rRNA from 1 species
GACGAACGCUGGCGGCGUGCUUAGCACAUGCAAGUCGAACGGAAAGGCCCUGCUUUUGUGGGGUGCUCGAGUGGCGAACGGGUGAGUAACACGUGAGUAACCUGCCCUUGACUUUGGGAUAACUUCAGGAAACUGGGGCUAAUACCGGAUAGGAGCUCCUGCUGCAUGGUGGGGGUUGGAAAGUUUCGGCGGUUGGGGAUGGACUCGCGGCUUAUCAGCUUGUUGGUGGGGUAGUGGCUUACCAAGGCUUUGACGGGUAGCCGGCCUGAGAGGGUGACCGGCCACAUUGGGACUGAGAUACGGACCAGACUCCUACGGGAGGCAGCAGUGGGGAAUAUUGCACAAUGGGCGGAAGCCUGAUGCAGCAACGCCGCGUGCGGGAUGACGGCCUUCGGGUUGUAAACCGCUUUCGCCUGUGACGAAGCGUGAGUGACGGUAAUGGGUAAAGAAGCACCGGCUAACUACGUG